rnacentral:lncRNA from 1 species
AUUCCCAGUCAGCAAGGGCUUGGGAAGUGCAUACAGUUCCUGCUCCUGGUGUCUACUCUGAAGAGCACAGAGUAGACGUUUGUCUGCCAUUUCACCGGCAGUAAGAUCAGCAGCUGCUGGUGAGCAAAGAGGUAGUAGUGGGUCACUGGACUGGUGGGCGCCGGGGCCGCGCGCUAGAUGGAGAGGUCAGCGGCGAACCCAGCUCCAUGGCCUAGUCUCGUCAGACCGAGCGCGGACCCUGCCGGCCUCCGUUCUCUUCCGCUUGUCUCAGGUAAAGCGCAGAUCCCUCCGCCGCAGCGUGCGCUCCCGGUAGCGCUGCGAUCAGCUUUUCGGCAAUACCCGGAUGGAAGUGUAAUGGCCGCCAUCAGGGACUCGCAGGCAAUGGGUACUACGACAGAUAUCAUCUCUUCUUUUGAUCACUGUUCCUGAUUGUGACAUUGUGCAAGUGUUAAAUUGUGUGCCUUUUGUUCCUGAAGAAAGAGGUCCUGGGAUCUUUGAAAUGCUAAGAUUCUUGGAUACCACAGUAUCAUAAAAUUCCUCUAAAUGCAGUAAGUAUACACAUAAGUAUGACCGUAAAUUAGGAAUAAGAUUAUUUAUGUAACUGCUGAAAUAGCUGACAUAGACUAUACCACCUUACAGUAUUGCUUUAAUUAUCAUAAUAACCGUGUUCUUCCCUGAACUUCACCAGCAAAUGGAUUUCUGUUCAGGGCCAUUUUUUUACAAAGGCAUGAAUUUUUAUUUUGUCAGAAAAUAAUGUACAUUGAGUAGAGAGCAGUAGAGCUGAGUUGAGGUACCACGUUAUCGUUUAUGUCAUUAAGUAACUUUUUCCUAUAUAAUAUUUGUUUGACUUCCUACCACGAGAUUCACAUGGGUACUGUGUUAUUCCUGAAGAGAUAAAGUAAUUCUGAAUGCUAAGAAUUUUCCUAAAGGUUGAGCAUCCCAAAUCUAAAAGCCUGAAAUCUAAAAUACUCCAAAAUCUGAAACUUUUUGAGUGCUGACAUGAAGCUCAAAGGCAAUCAUCACUGGAACAUUUUGGAUUUUGGAUAUUCAGCCAGUAAGUAAUGCAAAUAUUCCAAAAUCCACAAAAAUCUGAAAUCUGAAACACUUCUGGUUCCAAGCUUUUUUGUUUUGUUUUGUUUUGUUUUUUUGAGACGGAGUCUCACUCUGCCACCCAGGCUGGAGUGCAGUGGCGCGAUCUCGGCUCACUACAACCUCUGCCUCCCAGGUGCAAGCAAUUCUUCUGCCUCAGCCUCCCGAGUAGCUGGGACUAUAGGCGCAUGCCACCAUGGCUGGCUAAUUUUUUUUUUAUUUUUAGUGGAGACGAGGCUUCGCCAUGUUGGCCAGGCUGGUCUAGAACUCCUGACCUUGAGUGAUCUGUCUGCUUUGGCCUCCCAAAGUGCUGGGAUUACAGGGGUGAGCCACUGCUCCCGGCCUACUUCCAAGCAUUUUGGUUAAGGAAUAUUCAGUUUGUACUAUUUGACCCAGACUACUCAGAAAAAGUAAUGUAAUGAAGAAUGAAAGCUGUAGUUGUAGUGAAGUAAAUAGGAGACUGCUGUGUGAUGACUGACCAAAACGAUUUGUAUUAAUUUAUCUUGAAAACUUGUGAGCAAAGUCUGACUAAAAAUUUAAAGUUGUGACUGGUAUGGCUGCAUGAAACAAGUGUCAGAAUAUUAGAAUGAAGGUACAUGAUGUGAAGUUUCAGAAAAUUAAGUGGGCUUCACAUAGGUCUCAUUUCAUGAGGAAAGUCAGAUAAUUUCAAAAUGUAGUAAGCUUAUCGUCAAUUCCUGAUUAAUAUUGGUUUGUUGAAGGUUGUGGCUGGUAAAAGACAUGUCAUAUAUUGUUUUUGUCAACUCAGUAUCUCUUCAUUAGAGAACCACCCCUCCCCUAUUCUGAGUGGUUGGUGGGCUGUCCGUCAGUCUUACUGUCUUAUAACCUGAGCUUGGUCAUCCCUAUUGCAACAGUGAUUGCUGUUACUCAUGCAGAGCCAGUCAGAAUCCUUUUUUUGAAAUUUAUGGUUGAAUGCUAGGACAAAGAUACUACCUUUUCUCUGAAAUUGUUAAUCUGGGAAGGUGCUGGUGGCAUUCUUUACCACGUGUAUGAAAAGCGCAUCUGUGUAGUGGGAGAAAGUGAAGCCAUAAGGAGAUGGGAGAUGGAUGGUGGUAGUGCCAGUUUCAAUCUCAGGGAACAUGGUAAGUGGUACCUACUUUUCUUUUGAUUUUGUGAACUAUCCUGGUGUCCUUCUCAGUCCUUGUGCCAAAAUUUUUUGUGUAAAUUGGUUUGAAUUGGAUUGCAGCAGAAAGUGUUCUGAUGAAUAUAUGGCCCUUAUGAAUUUAAGGUCUAAAGUUUCAGAUUGAUCAUUCACAUCCUUCUGUAGUUCCCCACUUUCCUAUACCUUAUAAAGAGUUCCCUUUAUUUAUUCAUCAUUUGUGCAUGCAUUCAAUCUACUUUCACUCAACCUACAAACAUUUUUUUGAGUGUCCACUAUGUACAAGUAUGUGCAACUGCCUGGAUAGGCAAGAUUAUAUGUACUAGACUGAGUGGAUGGUGGAUAUAUAGCAUAUUUUUAUUUAUUUCUGGUGCACAGAUUAAUAAGCGUGUGUUGAGAAUAAUGACUGUGGUGCUUGGCAUCUAAGUAAUAAUGUAAGAACAAGAAGAAUUCCUUGUCUUGGAAGUGCUUCUAGUUAGGAAUUCAUAUUAAUAUACAGCAAACACAACAGAAAAAACAGAUAAAUGAAUGCACAGUUGUAUUUUAAGUGAAUUUUGAUGGGAAGGAAGUGAGCAGGUUGGCCCAUUUAGGAAGAUUUCCUGAAGAAUAUACAACUUUAAAUGUAUUUCUGCUUAUGAAUGUGGCUUUGAUAGGCACAGAGAAUAACUGAAAAAAGGAUGGAGUUAAAAAUGAUUAUAGGCUGAUCCAGGUUGGAGUGGAGAUUGGUUUCACUGUAACAGUAUGUGUUCUUUGGAAAUGAGGUAGUGGAAAAUAAGGUGACUGUUUUAGGUAAAUCUAUGUAUGAGGCAUUUGGAAAGCCAAGCAGAAAUUUUGGCCCUUUCUACUAAGAUGGAGAUUUCUUUGAAAAAAUGUGUAUAUUUCUUUUCAUAUAAUUUCAUUUUUGUAUGCUAAAAUGUGAAUUAAAUGUGAUGAAAUACUGUAAAAUUACUCAUUUUGGCAAAAACCUUUGUUUUAUUCAUCUGUCUUGAAGAUUUUUUAAAAAUAGCAAUUAACUUGGAAUGCCGAUUUAUAAA